AUAUUUACUGCUCAGACGGAAGUUGGCGAUGCGUCUUAAGCAUGCAAGUCGAGCGGGCUUAUUCGGGCAACUGGAUAAGUUAGCGGCGAACUGGUGAGUAACACGUAGGUAAUCUGCCGUGAAGCGGGGGAUAACCCAUGGAAACAUGGACUAAUACCGCAUAUACUCUUGCUACAUAAGUAGAGUAGAGGAAAGUUUUUUCGCUUCACGAUGAGCCUGCGGCCUAUUAGCCUGUUGGUAGGGUAAUGGCCUACCAAAGCUACGAUAGGUAGCCGACCUGAGAGGGUGACCGGCCACAUUGGGACUGAGAUACGGCCCAGACUCCUACGGGAGGCAGCAGCUGAGAAUCUUCCACAAUGGACGAAAGUCUGAUGGAGCGACAUCGCGUGAGGGAUGAAGGCCUUCGGGUUGUAAACCUCGGAAAUUAUCGAAGAAUGAGUGACAGUAGAUAAUGUAAGCCUCGGCUAACUAC
rnacentral:rRNA from 1 species